AUGAACGCUGGCGGCGUGCCUCAUACAUUCAAGUCGAGCGAACGGACGUGAAUCUUUCUUCUCUUAUGUUAUCGGCGUACGGUUUAUUAACUCUUUGAUAACCUACCUAUAAUACUGUGUUUACUUCGGGAAACCUUUUCUUAUACCUGUUUAUUUUUUUAACCGCUUUGUUCAUAAGUUAAAUACGGUCUUUCUUUCACUUAUAGAUUUAUCCGCGCUGCAUUAGCUAGUUGGUAAGGUAACGGCUUACCAAGGCAACGAUGCAUAGCCGACAUGAGAGGGUGAUAGGCGAAACUGGAAGUGAGACACGGAACAGAGAACGACGGGAGGAAGCAGUAGGGAAUAUUCCGAAAUGGGCGAAAGCAUGACGGAGCAAAGCAGCGUGAGUGAUGAAGGACUUCGGAUCGUAAAACACUGUUAUUAGGGAAGAAAAGAAGUGUAAGAAACUGUGCACAGAUUGACGGUAACUAAUCAGAAAGCCACGGCUAACUACGUG
rnacentral:rRNA from 1 species